CGCACACGCACACGCGCACCUUAGAGGGAACCUUGGUCUCAAGUCCGUUUGAGAGUUGAAAAGUUCUUGGUGCCGUGACUCAGAUCCAGAACACACGUUAAAGAAGUAGGACCGCGGACCGUUCCCUGCUGACCCCCAGGCACCAAACUUAAGAGCAGACCAGUCUCCCUUAGCUAGCCUUUCAAUUCAAGCCUUUCUCCAGAAUCGGGCUGCAAAAAAGGAAAAGGAUGACUGGCUGCGUGCAGAGUGUUCACUGCACCCUGACUCUCCCUGGCGCUCCCCGGACGGCCGCCUGGUGGCACCUAGAGAACUCCUCCCACAUCUUGCUCGUUUAACCCACUCUGUGGCCCAUACGAGCAAAGGGGGGACAAUUGCUACAGUAGAAAGAGAUUGGUUUGCCCCAAAUUUUCCUUCCAUGGCGCAACAGUACUGUAGCUCCUGUCCCAUCUGUUUAGCUCAUAACAUUGGGCAACGGGUAAAGACAACACCUGCAGCCCAUCCCCCUCCAUGGGGACUGUUUGUGAAUUUGCAAAUUAAUUUUGUACAGCUACCCAUGUGUUGUUCGUAUGAGUAUAUUCUUGUUAUUAUUGAUAUGUUCUCUGGAUGGGUGGAAGCCUACCCAUGCAUACAUGCCGAUUCCAUCACAGUAGCUAAGAAACUGCUUAAAGAAUUCAUUCCUAGAUUUGGAUUGCCCCACACAAUAGAUAGCGAUAGGCACCCAUUUCACAAGACAAAUAGUAAAAAGCAUCUGCCAAGCACUCAACAUACAGCAACACCUGCAGCUACCUGCGCAUAGUUAUCAUCCACGAUCAAGUGGUGCUGUAGAAUGUAAAAACUCUGAUUUAAAGACACGCAUUUCAAAAAUUUGUGCUGAAACAGGCCUCAAAUGGCCUGAUGCACUGCUCAUUCCUCUCAUGCACAUUAGAAACACUGUCGAUAGAAAACAUGGCCUAAGACCUUAUGAAAUACUCAUGGCAUGACCCCCGAGGAUGCUGGCCACCCCAACUGCUGCCCCAUACCAAACAGACCUACAACUAACUGAUGAAACUGUGCUGAACUAUUGCAAGGCAUUAAUGAAGUGUCAGGUCUGUUCAUUCACAGGUCGAAGAAGCCUUACCUCAACCACUGGAUAUUCCCUGUCACAACCUCAAACCAGGUGAUUGAGUCUAUGUAAAGGUCCAUCAGCAGAAAAACGUGCUUCAACCCAGAUAGAAAGGACCGUUUCAGGUGCUUCUGACCACUAACACUGCUGUUCAUUGCCAAGGUCACCAGAUGUGGACUCACGCCUCGCACUGUAAAGAAGUAUCACCUCCAUUGGACCCCAAAGCGACUGAAUUCCAACCCAGAUUAAGACCUUUCCCUGAGGCCAAGGACAAAGACCCUCAGGACCUCACUCAGGCAAGUGAGGAGCAUCAGGGUGCAAGUGCUAGUAACCUCUCCCCUGAACCCAACUCCUCAGCCCAGCCAGAUUUACCAAUUGUGGAAUGAAGAUAUCAUCUCUGACCCCGUUAAAUAAUAUCCAAACAUGAAGCUUUUUUCUAUCUUGAUUGUUAAUGCCAAACUUUUGAGCUUAGCCUGUGAGGCUGAGGGAGCAAAGGGGGGAAGUGCACAGGGGGCUUGACAGGACAUGAGAGGAGAUGCCAGCACCUUCAGG